GAGGGUAUAGCUCAGUGGUAGAGUACAUGCCUAGCAUGCAUGAGGUCCUGGGUUCAAUACCCAGUAUCUCCU
rnacentral:tRNA from 1 species